GGACUACUGGAGGGAAAGAACAUGAGAGAGGAGCUUGUUAUAAGGAACAACUUAAUCGGGGCCUAGAGAAAUUAGUCCUUACGUGAAUACACAGUAAGAACAGUUGGAUUCAGAGAGCAGGAAACCCCUGAUGAAGUCAGCAUUGACGAAACACAUUGGGUGAUAUGCAAGUUGCUAGAUCCGGUGUUAACAAGAAUAUUUGGAUCAACAAGUUACACUGUACACUAAAGAAAGCAUUCUGCUAAUGUAUUGUAUGGACUGAAAAACCAUUUUUAAUGUUUUAAUGUUUUAAAACUACUGUAUGUAUUAAAUAAAUUGUUU